rnacentral:piRNA from 1 species
UGAGAGCUGCAUGUGAGCCUGUGACCGUGA